rnacentral:rRNA from 1 species
CGAUCUGGCUCAGGACGAACGCUGGCGGCGUGCCUAACACAUGCAAGUCGAGCGGGGACAUACGACGGAGCAGAAGUUUCGGAUGGAAGCGAAGAUGUAUGUUCUAGCGGCGGACGGGUGAGUAACGCGUGAGCAACCUGUCCUUCACAGGGGGAUAACACAGCGAAAGUUGUACUAAUACCGCAUAAGACCACAUUGGGACAUCCCAGAGGGGUCAAAGGAGCAAUCCGGUGAAGGGUGGGCUCGCGUCCGAUUAGAUAGUUGGUGAGGUAACGGCCCACCAAGUCGACGAUCGGUAGCCGACCUGAGAGGGUGAUCGGCCACAUUGGGACUGAGACACGGCCCAAACUCCUACGGGAGGCAGCAGUGGGGAAUAUUGGGCAAUGGGGGAAACCCUGAACCCCAGCAACGCCGCGUGAGGGAAGAAGGUUUUCGGAUCGUAAACCUCUGUCCUUGGUGAAGAGUGAGAGACGGUAGCCAAGGAGGAAGCCCCGGCUAACUACGUGCCAGCAGCUGC